UACGUAGGAGACGAGCGUUGUCCGGAAUUACUGGGCGUAAAGCGCGUGUAGGCGGAUGAGCAAGUCUGCUGUGAAAGCUCCUGGCUUAACCGGGAGUGGUCGGUGGAAACUGCUCGUCUGGAGGACGGUAGAGGUAGGUAGAAUUCCCGGUGUAGUGGUGAAAUGCGUAGAGAUCGGGAGGAACACCGGUGGCGAAGGCGGCCUUCUGGACGGUGACUGACGCUGAGGCGCGAAAGCGUGGGGAGCAAACGGG
rnacentral:rRNA from 1 species